ACUUAACGAAGCAGUUGAUUGUCUGUCCUCAGCUCCACUACACAGGGUCUGGAAGAAGAAAUGAAGAGCUCUACUCACCUAAGUACAAAAUGGGUGCUUUUUAAGGUAAGCCAGGAAGCGCUGAUUAUACAAUUGCGGAAGGAGAAUGGGCCCGAGAUCAAUUAAUUAGCUAUUUAAUAACUUGGAUGGAUUAGCGCAUGAUGGUUUGCAGAAAAGUCCAUUGGCCUCAGUUUAUCGUUUUAUCUGCUUCUGCUCAGGCUGCAAAUGAUUUUGCCAUCUGUUUUCCUCUCUGUUGUCUUGCAGUCUACAAGAUGUGCCCUUUGGAAUUUUAUUUUGGGUGGGGAGAAGAAAGUAUCAACUCGAUUUCUGCUUGUGUGUUGACGCUUGCUGCUAGUCAUUGGCAGGAGUCCUUACUGGUUUAUGCAACCACAGGGUGUUCAGACAAAUGACUUCUGCUUAGCUUUCAUUGUCCAAGAAAAAUAUUGCAUACAAUUUCCUAUAAAAUAUAACUGGAGUUAACUGCAAAGUCUGGAAUGGCUGUCUUGCUUCUCCUGUUUAGAAGCUUGAUUCUUCUACUGAUUGAAGAUAUGCUUUCAUUCUUUUCAUUCUUAUGACAUAUGGAUUUAAAUGACCAGGAAAAUCUUGUUUUUAUGUCCCGUAUUUUUUUUUUAAAUAUAAGGAAGCAUAAUUUAAAUACAACCAUCUUGAGUUGUCCUUAUUAGUGUUAAAAGCUGCAAAGUUAGUAUUGAACUCUAAUGGAUUUUAGAACCUAAUUUGUGUAGCCAUGGGUGUAUAGAGCCGUGGACUGAGAAUGAAAGAGGCAUGAGUAGUGUGUCAUAUACGGAUCAAGGAUAUUUAGCACCCACUUUCUGUUCCAGAUCCUCAUAAUCCCUGUGAUGAACCCCUAUAUUCUUAUUGAAUGCAAUAGCAGCAUCUGGACUACAAUGGGAUUUUGCACCCCCUACAGUGAAUCCUGACUAAACAGUUAUGAGCUAUUUUGUUUCUGUAUAUCUGUUAAACAAUAUGAAAAUUGAGAGGAUAACAGGCAUAAUUACUGAUCACUGUGCACAUUCACCAGGCAUCACAAAGAAUGUGCAAAUAAUCAUUCCACGAAGAGGGAAUUGUGCACAUUUACCAGUCAAGAUACACAAUCCCCAACAGCCCUUGGGAAAUGUGUAUAUCUUAGCUGAAUUUUGUACAAUAUCCAGCUGAAACAAACAUCAUAAUUAUUACAAAUUUAUGAAUAUUACCCUAAAUGACAUGCACAAGAGGCAAAUUAAAUUAAUACGUUUACACAUUUCUACUCUGUGCUUUUUAGCUGUCUUGUAAUUCCCAUUCAGUGUUUGGGGAUUUUCAAGGGCAUACAAUAUUGAUUUCUAUUAAAAUAUUGUUGACCUAUUUUCCUAUUUAGAUAAUGAAGAACCACCAUAUGUUACACCAUCUGAAUAUUUAACAUUCAAUAAAAUGAAUGAUUGACAAAAUCGGCCUUGCAGCGAGCACUGAUUCUGACAAGCCAUAGUGUUGGUUUGACUAUAUGUUCCAUUACUUUCUGUUAUUAACAGGUUGUUUCCCUUCCCCUUUUCAAAUGAUCUCUCCUCCUGUCAACAUAAAACUCAUACAUGAUACUUUCAGCAGUGUUGAGCAAUAAUGUAUUAUUGUUGACAGUUGAGUAAAUAUAUAUACAUACAUAUAUAUACACACACACACACACACACACACACAUAUAUACAUAUACAUAUACAUAUACAUAUACAUAUACAUAUACAUAUACAUAUAUACUCUCUCUCUCUCUCUCCCUCUCUCUCCCUCCCUCCCUCCCUCCCUCUCUCUCUCUCUCUCUUUCUUAACAUAGGAUGUUAUAUUUCAUGUAUUAAAAGGAACCAUUAGGCAUUGAAUUAUUCCAGCAAGAAGACAGAAAGAGCUGUCAUAUCUUCCAGGAACUGGUGAGAUCAGGGAUCUGACUACAGGGCCAGAGAGCAUCAGUGUAGAAAAUAAACCCAUUUUUUAAAGCAUUUGGUUAUUAAUUGUUUUAAGGUUCUAAUAAUGACAUCCCCCCUCCCCCCGGAACAAUUUCAGCUAGACUUUGAUACAGAGCUUGAAGCUUUGAUACAGAGCUCAGACUUUGAUACAGAGCUCUGGCAGCACAUCCAGUGAGCAUGAUAUUUCAACUGAGGGCAUACAAUUCCCAUUAGAAAUGUUGCAAUGAAAAAUAUACAAAAUUGUUAUGUACUGAGUUGAAUAGGAUCCAAACUGCAGCAGUCUGAUUGGUCCUAGAACAAUAGGAUCCAAAUUGCAGCAGUCUGAUUGGUCCUAGAACAAUAGGAUUCAGAAUGCAGCAGUCUGAUUGGUCAUAGAACAAUGCAGCAGUAUGAUUGGUUGGCAGGAACCACCCAAUCAUGCUCCAGAUAUAAGUGAAUCCACAACCUGAUUGGCUUACAGUAGAAUUCCAGAAUUAGCCAAUCAUGUGCAGCCCAUUGUGUAAAUAAUGUAUAUAAAGCAGAUACUUUGAGGGGACUUUCAUUCAUUCCUCCUCACCACUAUGAGCUGAAUAAAGAGCAUGAAAUCACUUUGCGACUCUGAGUAUAUUUCAAAAAUGGUCCAUGAUAAAAUGCUUUGGUUUGUCUUAAUAUUUCAGUUGAGCAAGGUAGACAGGCAAAGUCAGCAAGAGAACCUGCUCCAACUGGACUGCUCCCCCCUCUGGCCAAUUUUACGUUUUUAUCAUUUGUUUUAGUACUUUACAACUGCAAACCUCUUUGGCAAAAAGGCAGUAUAUAAAUGUGAUCAGUCAAACAAUGGGAGACUUUAUGGCAACCUGACAUUCCAAACAGACAAUUCCUAUGUAUAUGUUGAUGGGGUUCAUUUGGCUAAUAUUCUGCACUGCAUGAUUUUUUAGCAGCCAACUUGGUGGCAAUUGCUGGACUGGAAGGAGUUGGGCAUGUGUAAGUGGGUCUUCUCAGUGGCAGCACCCUAACUGUGGCACUCUUGCCCAACUGCACAUUGCCAAUAAAGAGGAUGAACUAGGACAAUGAUUUGCAUAGGUAUCACCGCCAUGCUUUAGAGGGUUUACAGAAAACAGAGUGGCCGUUGCUCCCCUUCUGAGUUUUCUGCUCUAUUGUUGCAUUAGAAAUAAUGAGACAUCUUAAGUCUUCAUCUGUGCUGGGUGUCAGAUGAAGCCAAAGAAUAUUCCUUUUAAUCGGGAAUCCUGCAGCUUUUUUUUUUUAUUUCCUUUAUUCCAGAGCAUGGUGAUUUAUUUAGAGACUAUGGUAAGAGAUAACAUAGCUUCAAAGUGAUGAUUCCCCCCCCCAAUCAUCCAGUCAAGACGUUGCGUGUUUUCUGUGGUGAUAUGAAUCUUCAGUAUUGGAUCCAUCAGCAACACCCACAGGGAAGAAGAGGUAUUCGCGGAGGGUAGCAGAAUAUCUUACUGUAUAGUGUGAAAAGUGGCUAGAGACAUUCCAGGUAUUUACAGGUUGCCUCGGGCAGUAAAACCCUGGAGCCAGCCUCAUCUCUCUGUUCUUACAUAGCCAGGCUAGAUAUCUCAAGCUACAAAGAUCACAUAUGGCGUGCAGAAGAACACAAAGCAAAUAGCAACCAUCCAUCCUGCUUAUAGCGAAUAAAGGAUUUUACACUGUCAGUUGUCAGAAGGCUCUGAUAAACUGUCAGAUUCUGCAUUGUCAGCGCAACUGCUCUUAAGAAUCACUGAAAUUACUGAAGAUUGCCUGCCUAUGCCAUGAAGGAAACCAAAUCCUUGCCUCGUCAAGCAAAGCAAGGUUUACCCACCCCAUCCCAAAACAAGUUAUUAAUUAGGUGUUCUCUGCCACCUCGCUAUCGUCUACUUGUUGCAGUGCCCAAGGGCAAAUUUUUCCCCAACAGAGCUCCACUUAACAAUUUGUUUGUAGUAAAAUGUGUAUGCAAGGGAAGCACGUUGCAUUGCGUGAGAAGCGUAUUCUGUUCAGCGCAUUGUGCAGACAGGAUAGAAAGACCGAAAAAUUAAUGGCUGCAGUCGUGCUUUCAUGCAUCAAGUUAUAAUGUCUAAGCCAGGGGUCAGCAAACUUUUUCAGCAGGGGGGCCGGUCCACUGUCCAUCAGACCUUGUGGGGGGCCGGACUAUAUUGGGGGGGGGAAUGAACGACAUUCCUAUGCCCCAGAAAUAACCCAGAGAUGCAUUUUAAAUAAAAUCACACAUUCUACUCAUGUAAAAACACCAGGCAGGCCCCACAAAUAACCCAGAGAUGCAUUUAAAAUAAAAGGACACAUUCUAUUAAUGUAAAAACACGCUGAUUCCCGGACCAUCCGCUGGCCAGAUUUAGAAGGCAAUUAGGCCAGAUCUGGCCUCCGGGCCUUAGUUUGCCUACCCAUGGUCUAAGCUUUUAACUCUCAAAUAUGUGGCAUUCUGUAAACUAGACCUCAAAGAGACAGAUAAAACUUGCAUUAGCAAAAAACAACAACAAAACAAAACUCUCUCUCUCUCUCUCUCUCUCUCUCUCUCUCACACACACACACACACACACACACAAACUUACACACCUGCUAGCUGGGAUGAGGCUUUCAUGUUUUCCAAUUUUCUUUCUGCAAUGUUUCUAUAAGGUUGUCUUGGCUUAAUGUCUCUAAGUCAAAUGCUAGCAACACACAUGAGGAUGACUCAGAAACUUCAAUUAGUCCUAAAUGCAGCAGCCAGAUUACUGCCUGGAGUUCCCUUCAGAUCUCAUAUAACCACCCCCAUUUUAAAACAGCUGCACUGGUUUCCAGGUCCAGGUCCAGGUGCUGAAAACUUGAAAUGUGGCAGCCCCUGAAUUGUGAGCGUCCCUCAUUAUGCAGCUUCUGGCAAAUGAUUAAGAUGCUCCUCCUUAUGCUGGCUCUUGACACUUAGAUGUAUAUUUUUUAGGACCCACCUUAUUUAGGGAAUUUGCUUUAAACUGUUUUUGUUAUUAUGUUUUAAUUGUUGUAGCCGACCCCGGAACCUUAGGUUGAAGGGUGGGUCAUUAAUUGUAAUAAUAAUACUAAUAAUAAUACUUACAAAACUUCAUGAAUUCUUUAGAAUUAAAAGAAUGUAUUAGAAGUGUCUGCUUGUGAUGUAGUUUCCUUCACAGGCCCCUUCCAUUGUGCAGUACUAUUUUAUAAUAAACGAAUGGAACAGUGCAGCUGUAGUAGCACACUCACUGCACCAGAUCCAUUGCAUGUAAGCACUUCUGCUCUCGAGGAGUACACUACAAACUUCUUGGCCUCAUUACUUAUCUCAAUGGAUCAGCUCCAUUCUGCUCCACCCAAGCUGGUUUUAGUUUGCUGGGCCUACAAUCCAUGGCAAAUGAAGAUAUUCCCCAUGGUCCUUCCAUACCAAGUGGUAACAAAUCAAACAGAGCCCUAUGCCAUCUAAGCUGCACCAGCCUUUUGGCAGAAAAGUAUCAUUUUGUUCCGACAGCAGACUUGCUCAGACAGCUUGAUAGAAGAGCUCAUAUUCAGAGGCAGCACUAACAGUCACUUCAGCUGAACCAGAGAAUUGAUGGGGAAUGGAGUGGCACGCAGCAGAAACAAGGCUGCAUACAAACCAGACACUUAAAGCAUGUUCAAAGCACUUGAGAGCUCCCAAAUGAUCCCGGGAACUAUAGUUUAAGGAUGCUGUGAAUUGUAGCUCUGAAAGGGUAAACUACAAUUUCCAAGAUUCAUUGGUGAAAGCAAUUUGCUUUAAGUGCAUGGUGUGUACAGAGCCCAGGACACAAUAAUGCAGCAAAAAUACUGUAGCAAAUACAUUUGGACAGCAGCCCUACUAUACAGUGGUACCUCGGGUUAAGUACUUAAUUCGUUCCGGAGGUCCGUUCUUAACCUGAAACUGUUCUUAACCUGAAGCACCACUUUAGCUAAUGGGGCCUCCUGCUGCUGCCGCGCCGCCAGAGCACAAUUUCUGUUCUCAUCCUGAAGCAAAGUUCUUAACCCAAGGUACUAUUUCUGGGUUAGCAGAGUCUGUAACCUGAAGCGUAUGUAACCCGAGGUACCACUGUACCAAAUAUUAUUUAUGAAUAGUUGCUUCAAUUUCAAACAGCUGAUUAUCUGGACCAUGUUCAUUCCUUUUCAUUUAUUCACAUGACUAGAUAUUUUUGUGUUCAGAAUUGUUCUGGGAACAAAGUACAAAUUCCACAAUUGCACAGGAAAUCAUUCCCUUUAGCGACACAUUUGCUUUGGUGCUCUUUAUUUAUUCAUUGUCCCUUUAAUGAAUAAUCAUUUAUUCAGGUAGAAGAAACGGUAUUAAAGGCUACUGAUUGACCAUCCACAACAUCGAAUUUGUGCUAUAUGAUUAAGUUCUGAAAGUAAACACUGUAAUGCAUUCAUGAUUGCUGCAUUUAAUAGCUUCGAUGAAAUCUACAUAAUACAGAAGCUCAAACGUUGUUCUCAGUACUUCUCUAAGCUGUAUGGGAUAGGGCAGCUUGCUCAGUUUUCCCAAAAUGUGACUUAACUAUUAUGGCUAUGACAGCUAGUGAGCUGCUGUUGUUGUUAGAACCUCCAAAAAGAAAAAGAAAAGUUGCCUGACAUUCCCAGGCUUAAUGCAUUUUUAAAAUCCUUAUAAGAUAAUUUUGUUCAGGAGUUCUGCAGGCCCCUUCACAACAUGUCUCUUUUCUGCUGCUGGUUCUUCCUCUCCCUCCUCAAUUGUUAACUUCUCUGCUUCCUCUCCCUCUUGAACUUUGCCUCUCACAAUCUCAUGGGCUCUUCAUUUCUCUUCACUUGUUACAUUCUUCCAUGCAUGAGGCCAGAAUUCUGAUGGUCAGGGGAGCUGAGCAGCAAUGUGGAUAUGAUUUAAAUCAAAAUCAAAUCAAAUUGAUUUAAAUCACUAGUCAGUAAGACUUGAUUUAAAUCUCUUUUUUUAAAAACAGAAAGGCAUUCCUGCUGGUAUAAUCUUAAUAUUUUCAACCAGAUGAAGGUUUCAUUUUUGGAAUAAUAAAUUUUCAGAGUAGUUUUUACAGUUAUAUCAAAGAUUACUGAUAGACAGAUUAAUUAUGAAAUUAUUGUGAGGUUUAAUAAGUUAACUGUUUAUAUUUGGACAACUUUUUUGCUGUACUUCAUUGGAAAGAGAAAAAUAAUCAUUUCCUCAAUAACAAUUUAAACAAUUUAUUUAACUAAAACAAUAAUAUUAUAGCAUAUGUAUCCAUGUUUGUUAACUGAUGUGGUUAAACAUUUUUAAAAAACAAACCCUUAGUCUGCGUUUCAGCACACAUGAAAAACUUAAAACAAAUCCUUAUUUCCUAAUGGCCUUUGGACUAUAAUGUACCAUAACUUAAGUAGAAAACUAUCUUUAGAAAGAUUUUUUUUCCUCCAAAAGCAUUUUAUUUUAAAAAUCCAAUUUAAAUUAAAAAACCGAUUUAAAUAAAAAAAAAUCCGAUUUAAAUUUUUAAAAUCUGAUUUAUUUUUUUAAAAUCAUCAAUUUUUAUCCACCCUACUGAGCAGUCACUACAGCCUGAACAGAUAUCAAAUAUUAAAUAGAGCCCUCCCCUUUUGAGUGCUCAAUUUCUUCAUAACUUGGGGUUGCACCCAAAUUAAAGAAUCCUCCUUUUCUAGUUCAUUGAUGGACUUGUUUCGGCUACAAAGCUAUCAGAGGGGAAGUGGGAUUGCAGCUACUCUCCCCUUCCACAGCUUCCACUUGUCCAUUGUUUCUGUAUGCACAGAACUUACGCAGGCAAUGUAAGCACAUAAUCUCCAAGUACACAAAAUUGCUAACUCUGGGAAUGUAAGGGAUAAGGAAGAAGGCAUGGACCCACUUCUCCCUACCUAACAUUAUACAGUCUCAGGCCUAGAGAAAAGGGAUUCCAUGCUACCUGCCUAGCAUUUGUGCAAAAAACCCCACCAAAGUUAAGUUCAUGUUCCUAUGUGAUUACUUUCACAUGAGUCAUAAACAUUUCUACUCCUUUCCCUUUUUUAAUUUAUCCCUUAGUGGUGAAGCUUUUAUUGAAAUCUUUUCCUUGUGUGUGUGUCUGAAGCUCCAAGCCUUUGGACUUUAUUGUGUCCCCUGUGUGGCUCCAUGUCAGUAUUACACUGUGAAAACAUUCCCAUUGAUCCAAUCCUUUGAUUAUCUGAGCGUUUCAGAUGUCACAUAGACUGUACAGAUAAAUGAAUCUGUACUGUAAAUGGCACAGACUUUAUGUUAGCGCUGAAUGAUUUGAAGGCUGGCUUGAUGAGUAAGAUUUGUCUUUCUCCAGAUCCAGAGACUGACUUUCUUAAAGUACUCAAAAAAUCAUAAAAAAGAUCUAUUCUUGUUGAUGUGCAGUAUUUGGAUUAGAAGCUACAAUUAUGAUAUAAUGGGAAAAAACUGAUUUUAAUAAACGAAAUACAGAAUAUUUGUCACUUAAGUGAAAUGUUGAAGCUGCAAAGAGAUAGAGGGAAGUCAACUAAAGAGCAGGGAUUCAAAGUAGUUUUCCAUGCUUUAGGGUAUGCCGCUAAAGGAAUCCAGGGGUCUGGGUCCUGUCCGAAGCCUACGGAGGGGCUAGGGCCAUACCAUGACCAGGGGAACCCUGAGGUGCUCGAGUUGGUUCAUGGCGGCCGGGCUGCCUCUUCAGGAGUUUACCCUUGCCUGACUUCCAGCAAAGCAGGCAGGAAGACAGAUAUAGUCUUGCUUGCCAGUGCCUAAGCCAAUAGCGCUCACAUUCUGUAAUCAAUAAAGUUGUGGCCUAAAUUCGCCCACCAACAUUAACUUUAAUCUCUGUGUCCUUGUGUCUUUAUUUCUCAGGAGUGGGCUUGGGGGGCCUCGAAGCUCAACCUGGCGUAUAGAAUAUUCAAAUUACUGUUUGCAUCCUUUGAACAAUUUUGUAUACUUGACUAAUUCUGUUUCAUUUUUUAUUAUUUAUUCCUUUUAGUUUUUUCUUUUUAUAUUUUCAGUUUUUUGUAUUUUGUAUUUUUCAAUAUUUAGAUGUAAUGUUUUCAUGCUUUUUCUGUAAUUUUUAAAAAUGCAAUGAAGAUUUUAAAAAAAAGAAGAAGCUACAAUUAUGCUGCUAUUAAAUGUCCAGCCAGGUGGUUCUCAGAACUAUUUCUUUCUAAAUGAUUAUUCAUUAAAAGUCUCCCCCCCCCAAACCCUCUCAUAUGAGCAUUGCAAAUACAGUUGCAGGUUUCGCUGAUCUUGUACCAUGCAUUUUGACACCCAUUCAUUGCUAUUUUUCAUCUAAAAUGGGACAGGUUAUGGAUUGCGUUUCUGGGUCAUGGAAAUUUUUAAUGGCUCGCGAUAAACAGGCAUGAACAAGUUUGAAUUUUAGGGAAAUACUUCAGCUACAGGCAUUGAGGUGCAUGUUAAUUGGUUUCAUUGCCAAGAAAAAUUGCACUGCCAAUCAUUAUUACUAACUAAUGGAGGUUGGCAUGACACUGUACUAAAAUAAAUGAUUAUUCUUGCUAACUACCAAAUAUUCUGUUUUGUGGUGCAUUAUGUAACAAGAGAGGCAAAGUGUAAAGGUACAGGGCGCAGAGUGACAGAGGAAUUUAACAAACAGUCAAAAAAAGAUAAAGAUGACAAAUAAUUAAAAGUGAGUGGAUAAUUGGAAAUCACGACUGCAGAGCAUCAGGCUUUUGUCGGCUGCCCCUUUUUUUCUUUCAUAACACUUAGCCCUCAUAAAUCUUUUCUCAUUAAUCAUUACCACUUCUUUUUAAGCAGUGGGCACAGAACUUGACUCUAUUUUGGGGGGGGGGAGAUCUUAAAUGUCUUUCUUUUUUUUUUAACCCAACAACUCUCAUUCCCCAGUAUAUUAAAACCCAUUUAUUUCAACACAAAUGCCUAGGAGUUCAAUCCUUUUUCCCAAGGGGAAAACAUGUCGCUUCUGUUAAUAUGUAAAAUAAUAUGUUGCUUCAUGUGAAAUAUCAAGCAGCAUACCCUUUCCACCAGGGAAGCUCUGUCCAAAAUAUAUUGCUUUGCAUUAGGUCAUUAAAGGUAAAGGUAAAGGUACCCCUGCCCGUACGGGCCAGUUGUGUCCGACUCUAGGGUUGUGCGCCAUUCUCACUUAAGAGGCCGGGGGCCAGCGCUGUCCGGAGACACUUCCGGGUCACGUGGCCAGCGUGACGAAGCUGCUCUGGCGAGCCAGCACCAGCGCAGCACACGGAAACGUCGUUUACCUUCCCGCUAUAAAGCGGUACCUAUUUAUCUACUUGCACUUAAGGGUGCUUUCGAACUGCUACGUGGGCAGGAGCAGGGACCGAAAGACGGGAGCUCACCCCGCCGCAGGGAUUCGAACCGCCGACCAUGCGAUCGGCAAGUCCUAGGCACUGAGGUUUUACCCACAGCGCCACCCGCGUCCCCUUAUUAGGUCAUUAGAUAUUGCCAUUUUCAAUUUGAACAGAGCCAUUUAAUAGUUUAAAGGUAAAGGGACCCCUGACCAUUAGGUCCAGUCGUGACCAACUCUGGGGUUGUGGCGCUCAUCUCGCUUUAUUGGCCGAGGGAGCCGGCGUACAGCUUCCGGGUCAUGUGGCCAGCAUGACUAAGUCGCUUCUGACUAACCAGAGCAGCGCACGGAAACACCGUUUACCUUCCCGCUGGAGAGGUACCUAUUUAUGUACUUGCACUUUGACGUGCUUUUGAACUGCUAGGUUGGCAGGAGCAGAGACCCAGCAACGGGAGCUCACCCCGUCGCGGGGAUUCGAACCGCCGACCUUCUGAUCGGCAAGUCCUAGGCUCUGUGGUUUAACCCACAGCGCCACCCGUGUCCCAUUUAAUAGUUUACAGUACUGAUAAAAUAUGGGUCAGGUGUUACUCUCCAUUCAAAAAUACAAUUCACUCUAUAGAGCUACACCCAAGCAACUGAAUUUAUAGUAGAAAUUUUGAAUUACUAAAUAAAAUGUCAGGCUUGGUCUCUCUAAUGUUCUAUAAGUGAUGGUUUUAUCCAACAUUGUCUAUCAACAGUGUUUAGCCAUCAGUUCCAAGUAUAGCUGGUGUCUUUCCCCAUCUGUUUAUGGCAGCAUGGUUGUUGGAUACUACCCAGCUGUGAUGUGCCUUGCAGUGCUGAACGAAGAAGUAGCAUUGCCAUGAGCAAAAUAGCUGUUCCACUGGAGAAAUAUCACUGGGUUUAGUAAGCAUAUGUCACAGCUGUGAGCGGGUUUCUCAAAAAAGGAAAAGGAAAAAGAAGAAGGGGUGAAUUUCCUCAGAUGGCAUCACUCCUUGUCAGUUAAAACAAGACCUCCCUUGUCCACCAGAAGUACUCUGGCUCACUCUCACUUGGAAUAAGAAAUCUUCCUGCAGCGACAUCCACCAUGGAAAAAGCAAAUGUAUUCCAAUUCACCCCUCCCAUAUGAUACAUGUCAAACAUGAAGUGCUGAAUUUCAAGUAAAAACAAAGCAAAAUCUGUGUUUUGGAUGGAGAUGGUAUAUGAGAUAAACACCCCAAAGUAAGAUAAUUCCGGUCACAAAAAUUAAGGACAGGUAAGCCUGAAUCUUGUGACUUAAGACAAUUUCAAGCAAUAGACUUCAUUUCCAAACAAACAGGGAACAGAAACAGCAGGGAAGAGGUUGUCUUCCUUUAAUGAUUAAAUUAAGAGGUGGGGUGGUUUGCAGAUAAAACAAUGAAAAACCAUUCCAAAUAUAAAAAGCAAUGCAAACAUUUAAGUUAAAAAUCAGUUCCAGUACAGAUGCAGACAGGUAUAAAGGUUUUUAGGCUGGUUAACACUAGGUGUUGACAACAACUCUGUUUAUUGCUGCUCAGCAGGCACCCAAGAGAGCUGCACAGCAGUAGGGAGCCACCAACAAGGAUGAGAGGCCUUAUUUGAUGGAGAAAGCAAUACAGAGUGGAAUACAAACAUGAUUAGCAUGCUCUCCUUGUGGUCUAGUCUUCUGAUUUAUGCCAGCCCUUCUCAUGGAAAGAGCUACUGCUUUGGCUGGUUCAUUAAUGACAGCUGUAAGAAUCAUACUGCCUUAUGCUGCAAAGCUAAGUAAACUGUUAGACUUAUGUGAACUCUAAGUUAGGUGUGGGGAAACUGUGACCUUCUAGAUGUUGCUAAACUACAACCCCAUCUUUUCUGGUCACUGGCCAUGCUUGCUAGGGCUGAUAGAAUAUGCAGUUCAGCAACACCUGGUGGACCAAAUGUUCCCCAUUCUUGCUCUAAGACAAUAAACUCUUAAGAAGCAACUAUGCAAAGCAGCCAUAUUUAUAUUCUUAAUCACGAGACCAGUAAGCAUGUUCAGAAUAACUUCAUAUAGCAGGAGUGUGUAAGGGAACAUUAUUCUUUCUCAUUUGAUUUUGAUCUUCCAUUUCUUUCUAGAGUGAUUAUUGAUUUUAGGAUGUGCACUUGGUCUUUUCCAUUCUGUGCUGCAAAGAAUACACAGUUUGGGUCCUAGCAUUAUCUGUUUCCCGAGACGGUUCACAUCAGGCCGCCAUAGCUUAAUGCUUGCAGUCUUAAUAAGGUGGACUUUUAAAUUAAGGGCAUUAGGUUGAACAUGAAUCUCCCAUGGGCAAGUUGUUAUUAGAAGAAAUGGGAUAAUAUCAGAUAUCCUUUGUACCGCUCACUUCCUACGAACUAAGCAAUUAUGAAAAUAUUGAAUCAAUAUUCUAUUACUUAACAGUAUUAUCAUGAACUAUAUUUAUAUUCUUAAUCAUAGUUCCUUCAAAAGUGUGGUGAUAAGCACUGCAAAUGACUUCAGAACAACUUCAUAUAUCUGAAAGGCUUGGAAGGCUUCCAGAACACUGCAAUCAGCCACAGCUGCUUGAAGAACUCCCAGUUUAUCAGUCUUGCUUAUCUGAAGCUCCCUAGGCCAGAAUACUAAAUUUAUUUUUAUUUCCUUAGGAAGAUUUAUACAACACUUAGUUUAAUAAAAUCCUCUAAGCAGUUUGCACAAACUAUUUGUUAUUAGGGGCUGCCAACCCUGCUGGCUUCGCUCACCAACCCCCCCUAGCCAUCAACCCCUUGGACAACCCCCUCCCCCGCACCAGUCCGACCCACAUCCCUUUACACCUCACCCGUCCCAUUUCUGUUUGGGUAAUUUUACGUGUAAGCACAACUAUUUGGGAGUAAGUUUAUUAAGACCAAUGAGAUUUGCUUUCUAAUGAGGCUAGUAAGAAAAGGGGUGUAAGGACCUCUUCAUAUUGCAUUUUAAGGUGUAGAUUUAAAAAAACAACUUAGGUGUGCCUCUAAAAUGUAAAGAAUAAUUGUGGAAAAACAAGUGCAUAUACCUGUAUUAUACUGGUACCAAGAGAAGCCAGGUUGGCUGCAACAACUGCCUCAAGCACACUACAAAUGCUACACUGUGGCAAACACUUGGGUAAGUUUUUCCAGGCAGUUAUAGUGCAAUAAUUUAUUUGAUAUUUGCAUUGUGUUUAUGUUACUAUUUAUGUUGUUUCAGUAAGAUGUAUCCUAUCAUACAUUUUUCUGUUAAAGAGGCCUGCCAAGCAAAAUGUAAGCCAUGAUGAUAUAUAAAGUUUCUCAUCUCCAGGGUUGGGUUUUCUCCAGGAUAAAUAAAUACUAGAGGAAGUUCAAUAAAUACUCAGUAAGUGCAGCAUGACAUAAGGAUAGGCUGACUUCCCUUGAGACUUGGUAUCUGCUGAUGUACUUUCCAAACAAUCGUUUGAAAUUGCUAUCAUGCAAGUGGCCACAUUUUGCACUACAGUGGUACCUUGGGUUAGAUACGCUUCAGAUUACAUACGCUUCAGGUUACAGACUCCGCUAACCCAGAAACAGUACCUCGGGUUAAGAACUUUGCUUCAGGAUGAGAACAGAAAUCGCGUGGUGGCGGCGCAGCAGCAGCAGGAGGCCCCAUUAGGUAAAGUGGUGCUUCAGGUUAAGAACGGACCUCUGGAACGAAUUAAGUACGCAACCAGAGGUACUACUGUACUUGUUUUCUGGACACUAGUGGCAUUUAGCUGACACGGGUGCUUUUCAGAUUUGAUUGCAUGUUCCAGUUAACCCUUCCCUCUCAGCUCUAUUAUUUCUUCAUUAUUUCUCUCACACACAUGCAGGCUUUCUGUGAAUGGCUCCUGAAAAAAAUAUGAAAGGAUUUCCUCCCACUGUGUGACUCCCAUGCCUUCUCAGAUUGACUCAGGAGGGUGUCAGGAGAACCUCCAGAACAGCACAUGGGGGUCAGAAAGGGGAGAUACGGUAAUUCCAUCAGGCACAGGAAUUAUCGCUCCAUUUGUGCACAUGGAACAUACAUUUACGCUCCCUAAAAUACACGUCUGUGUUUUAUGCACAUCUUUUCACCAGAAAAUCCACCACAAAAAUCAUAGAAGUGUGUAAUCAGGUUGAUAGUUGUGUUCCAAUACACAUAUACUCUAGGACUUGUGAAUUAUAUUAGUUCACUUGAAAAUAUAAGCUGCAUGAAUUUCUCCUGCCUCCCUACCUCUGCCUCCAAACAUAUACCUAUGAAUGCUUUGAUAAAGACCCUCUUUAAUUAGUUCAGUCAGCUGAGACAGCCAAUAUAAAUACAGAGAUUUGCGAUAGUCAGACAAGGAAGAUAUUUAAAGCAUAAAUAGUGCAUACAAAAUGACUUAUAUCCACUCCUUCACCACCUGCAUCCUCUGAGUGCACAUUCAUUUGUGUUGCAUAAACUGUGACACAGAACAUCUGCCUCUGGGGAAGAAAAUUCCAACCGUGAUAUAUGCCAUUCUCUUUAACUAUCUGCUCAGUAGGAUGAAGUCUGAUUAUAAAGAGAUUAACUAGGCUUAAGCAGACAUACGAAAACAACCAUGAGGGAUCCAAAAACUUGUUCUCACUAGAGUAUGAAGUAGCCCUAUCUGACUAAAGCUGUGUUCUUCUCUCCCCAGCAUGCAAUGGAUAUUCUUUCACACAGGAUACCUCAGAAGGUUGUGGGAUUGCAAAGCCGAAUUAUUUCCCCGGUUCUCAGACCUGCUCUUUAAGGUGAGUGUUUUACUUUAUUUAUUUUGGUUUUAUUGCACAUACAGUUCAGCCUACUUAAAAGAAACAUAUGAGACAGACAAUGACUUUAAAUAGCAGGAUAUAGUUACCAGAUUGUACUCCUGGUAGUUAUUCCAAUUGCUAUUAUCUGAGGGAAAAUGCUGUGAUAAUUUAAGUGCAAUAAAGUAAUUCAAGAGAAGGCAGCACAUCCAAUACUUUAUAGUGAGCAGAAUCAUGAUGGAGUUUGCGGAGUGAAUGUUAAUUCAAGCACCUUAUUGUACCUCUGGUUUUCGUUAAAAAAAAUGAUUGUGAGUUAGUUAAGGAACAUGGCAAGCAUUAUAAUAAGGUUUUGACUUGCUUAUGGAACUGGAAUGGGCCAAUCCAACGGCAUGAUUCAUUAUUAAUCAGUGUUUUACAUAACCUAGUUACCUAAAAGCCACAUAAAUAGUAUUAAGUUCUUGCCUAUAAAUUGAUCCGUACAGUUUUGUGUGCUACAGUCAAUAAGCUACCAUCUCUUAAUUAUGGCAUAAUUCUGGAUAAAGAAGAAAUCAUUAUCUGUUUACUGUGGACAUUGCAUACAAUCAAGAUAGAGAUUACUCUCCAACAUACAAAAGGAGACCAUCCAGACAAAAGAAAAUAUUCUGGUUUCCAGUACAUGCUCAAUUCCAUUUUGAAACCUAUGGCAUUUUGCAAAAUGCACAGGCCACAUCCAGUGAUGUCUACCCACUUCUGCAUUUGGGCUGCAGGUGGAGUUGAUGAAGGAGAAGCCCCAUUGUAGCCUGCUUAUGCUACACUGGACUUCACGCUGUAACUCUGGCUGGAUUGUUUCCAGAAAAUCCAUGUUACAGGGGCUUAGCUGCCUCCACACCGUAGAAUAGUAAAUGGGAUAUUUGAAUGACAUCAUGAACAAAGCACACACACCCCUUCUUAUUUUCCCUAUUGCUUAUACCAGGCAGAGGCAAACUCAGCCCUCCAGAUGUUUUGGGACUACAACUCCCAUCAUCCCUGACAACUGGUCCUGUUAGCUAGGGAUGAUGGGAGUUGUAGUCCCAAAACAUCUGGAGGGCAGAGUUUGCCUAUGCCUGCCUUAUACACUUCCUCUCCACCUCUUGGCUUGGGGUAAAUUUUAGGUGAGACGAGCUAUCCCAAGGGAAAAGGGAUAAGAAGGCCUUCAAUACCCUCACCCCAAAGAUCCAAUGAAAAUUUUCCAAUCCCCCACUUCAAGCUGAAGCCUUGGCAACAUUUUAUAUCAGUAAUUAAAUUAGGGAUAAAAGUUUGAAAUCAGCUAAUUGGGGACACAACUCCUCAAGGCAGAAAUAUAUUUCUUUCAGUUGUGUAGCACCAACGGCAACAAUGACACCUGCCUGUUCCACUCACAGAUGGGUCAACAUUGUUAGAAAUACUUUCAUUCCAGAUAUAGGCCAGACAUUUGAUAUAAUAGGGUUUUGGGGAAAACACAUAUAAGAAAAAUCUGAUAUUGGCACAUUUUUACCUCUAAUGGCUGAUGUAAAUAAUACCUCAAAGGGCAAACUGCUCUCCAGCAUUCAGCAAGCAAAACAACUCAUAGCUGCAAUUAAGGGGUUUUAUAAAAAGGUAAAGGGUAAAAGGACCCCUGACCAUUAGGUCCAGUUGUGGCCGACUCUGGGGUUGCAGCACUCAUCUCACUUUAUUGGCCAAGGGAGCCGGCGUACAGCUUCCGGGUCAUGUGGCCAGCAUGACUAAGCCGCUUCUGGCGAACCAGAGCAGUGCACGGAAACGCCGUUUACCUUCCCACCGGAGCGGUACCUAUUUAUCUACUUGCACUUUGAUGUGCUUUCGAACUGCUAGGUUGGCAGGAGCCGGGACCGAACAACGGGAGCUCACCCCAUCGCGGGUAUUCGAACCGCCGACCUUCUGAUCGGCAAGUCCUAGGCUCUGUGGUUUAACCCACAGCGCCACCUUUCCCCUUUACACGCCUGAGUUAUCCUUAGACUGAGAGAGAAGACAUCUACAGCUGUAGAUGCAAUAUACUUUGAACUAGUCACACAUGAGACUGAGGGCUGCUCCGGAUGACCUGCUUAUUCAGCAUUCAUCCUGCUUUGCUUGCACAAAAUUUACACAGUGAUUAGAUGAUAUCCAUACACUCUGAUUUGUUUACCGGGCAGUUAUAUGACAAUGAGCAUUCAUCUCGCAUUCGUCCCGAUUUGCUUGAGGGGUAUUUACUUGCCUUCCUCUCAAUCAUUCCUGCAUCUCAUACUUUUCAACACCUUUCCCCAUCACUUUCCAAACCACAAAACAUUUUAUUUUAUUUUUAUUUUGCGUAUUUUUCAAUAGGCAAACCUAAAGUUCUGGAAGGCACCUGAAUCCCAUCUCCCAAAAUACUGACAGACUGGUGAUCCCCUGAAAGAGAGGGCUCGCCUUUCACACACUUUAAGAACCUUUAUAUUAGAAGAGAGUAUUUUUGUGAUAGCUAGGAAAGCUAUCAAAACUCUGCGAGCAGAACAUAAGAAGUGAAUCAUUUACAAGUAUCUUCAAAACCAGGAAGAUUCUGAAAUUGUAACACCUCAGGUUGUGAUCUUAACAGAAACCACACAUUCUUUAGCUAGCUAUAGUUUGAGUAGGAGGCCUCAUAAGGUAACCUUGUGCACUGCAGGGAAUAGUUGCUGCUGAAAGGCUCUGCCAUCUGUGUCAGUUCUGUGGUAAUUCCCUUGCACACCACUUUUAGCAGAUGCUACCUUUUGAAUAAGAUAUAAAUUGAAGCCCUGACCAGGCGUAAUCUCUAGAAUCCCCUUUGGUGUUUGUUGCAGCAGGUAUAAGAUUAUUCUUGCAGUCUGUGCCGUGAUAAAAAGAAGUAUAAUUUGGGCCAUCAAUAUUCACUUCAAACUGCCCCCAAUUUAAACCUUACAUAUACAGUGGUACCUCAGGUUAAGAACUUAAUUCAUUCUAGAGGUCCGUUCUUAACGUGAAACUGUUCUUAACCUGAGGUAGCACUUUAGCUAAUGGGGCCUCUCACUGCUGCUGCACUACUGGCAUGCGAUUUCUGUUCUCAUCCUGAGGUAAAGUUCUUAACCCAAGGUACUACUUCCGGGUUAGCAGAGUCUGCAACCUCUAGUGUCUGUAAUCCGACGUACCACUGUAUAGGGCUUCCUUUCAUAUUUCCCAGUGGACUGUAGUUGCAUCACUGAUUUUAGAAGGAAAAUUCACCAAUAUAGUACAGGAGAAUCGCCGCAGUAAACUUGCCUCUGCACUUAAUCCAUCAAUAAUGUAGUAAGAAGGAACAGUCAUAUUGUAGCAUUAUUAAGGGGAGUGCAACCACUCCCCCACCACUUAUAAAUUUGUCAGAAAUUUCACACACAGAGAACAGAAAAAUGGUCAUAUUUUGUUGGUGUUAUAUGUGUGUAUGUAUAAAGGAGAAUUCCUGGAUGCCUAGAACAAAGUCUGGGGCAAGUACUCUCUGGUAACAGAACCCCAGCAUAGAUUUAAAGUCACAAAAUAUGCAGCAAAGUGUGGAAAUAUUGGCUGUUAGAUCUUUAAAAUAUGUGCCCCUCCAAGUGAGUUGCAAAAAUGUCCCCUUAAAAGGUUUCCUUCAAAGUUUCCCAGUUCCCUCAGCAUGGGGAAAAAACCACGUGUUUGGCAAAUAAAAGAAUGGUUUACUUACAAACGCUUCAAAGGUCAGGUUCACGUCCUUCGGAAAAGUUGCACAGGCAAUAGAACUUGGCUUAGUUACAAAGUGGUGAAAGUUCCUAAAUUAUUGCUGUAAGAACUCAAGAAUUGCUGAUGAGAGCCAAGCAGCUCAAACCUCCUCACACAGCUGAGCUUCUCAGGUGGACAGGAGUGCAACAAUAAGCUUGAUUACCCAUUUCCUCUUAAGGUAAGGGGAGUGACAUAGCUAAGCCUAGCUGAACAGCUUGCUCUAUGGUAUUAACUCCUUCAUGCAUUAAUUAGAUUUAAGCAUGUUUGUUAUAUGAGGCUGCUAAUCCCACAUUCCGCCCCCCCAAAUGUGUGUGUAGAGGUGGGUUCAACAGAUUCAACAGUCCAUGCAAAAGGCAGGCUCCUCAACUUGCAGUCAAAGUAGGUCUUUUUCUACCUGGCCUGGAAGGGCAGGGCCCUGACUGACUCCAGCUGCAGCUGCUAAAGAGGCCAGAGGCCCUCUUGGCUGUGAAUCCUGGAAGACAUGCUCCCUGCCUUGCAGGCCUUUUCCCACAAUUUGUAGAAAUUGUUCAGUUUUGUUGCGUACUUUUUAUGUUUUAUUUAUUGUUUAUGACUACUUUUGUUUGUAAUUAUAUAAGAUGCCUUGAGCAUGGUUUUAACUAUGCUGAGGUGAAAUUCCUAUAAAAUUAUGUAUGUAUGUAUCUAUGAGUUUGGGGACUGACACUGCAUUCCUGCACCCCAACGCCAUAGAAUUAAUCUGUGGUACAGAACAACAACAACAACAAUUUAUUAUUUAUACCCCACCCAAAAACAUGUUGUUCUCUGAAAGGGACUAAGUUGUUGGUUACUGGGGAGAAAUGGCACGGUUCUCCUCAGGAGACUUACCGGUAAUUCUGUAACAAAGACAGAUGCAUGGGACUGUAUAUUGGUCAGUCAAGAGAACAAGGGAACAGCCAGGGUUAUUUAGAAAAGGCUUUGCUACUAUAGCAGUGAGAUUGCCACUAGCAGCACGCAACUUUGUGCACGUAGACACAUACAAUCAUUUUUUGUUUGUCAAGUGGCAUCUUUGUGGUUCAACUGCUGAUCGUGUCAUUGAAAGAAAUAAUUUUGCUGGCGCAGUUAAAACUGGAUCACAGUUUGGGGCAUUUUGCAACAGGCAUCAGUGGACAGUGAAUCAAAUCCUAGGUCCCAUAAGCAAACAUUCCUGUCAUAUGGGUAAAAUGCCAAUAAGGAAGAAAACCCUUCACCAUACCAUCUUACUGAUCCCAGAAAUAUAUAUAUGGAUUUCAUGUCACCUGCUUCAUUGAGUCAGGCAGAUUACAGAGCAGCCCAGGUUGAAAAUCCUGUCCUCACCUUCCCCUGCCAAUCUAUUUGCUAUAGCUACACUUCAAACAAAAACAACACAGGCUGCCUCAAUUCUAGAAUAUCAUUUCAUUGUAAAAUACAGGUGACAACCAGUGCCACACAGCACACUGUUGGAAGUGUAUCUUUGGUGUGAGUGUGUGUGCACCACCCUAGCAUUUGGCUUAAAGGCUUGAAAAAUAUCAACAACAUUCUACAUUGCAAGGUUAUUGCAGUGGUGGCCAAACUUGGUCCCCCAGCUGUUUUGGGACUACAACUCCCAUCAUCCCUAGCUAACAGGACCACUGGUCAGGGAUGAUGGGAAUUGUGGUCCCAAAACAGCUGGUCACGUAUCUGUUGCCAGCACAGCCCUCCAACCUGCAACUGGGCUCUAACACUGAACUAGAUACAGUCAUACCUCAUGUUACAUUUGCUUCAGGUUGUGUUUUCAGGUUGUGUCCCACGGCGACCCGGAAGUACUGGAAAGGGUUACUUCCGGGUUUCGCCGCAUGCGCAGACACACAAAAUGAUGUCACAUGCAUUCACAGAAGCAUCGAGUCGUGACCCGCACAGAGGCGGGUUGCAUUCCUUUCAGGUUGCGAACAGGGCUCUGGAACGGAUCCCGUUCGCAACCAGAGGUACCACUGUAUAGCUUCCAGCUGAGAGCCCCAUCAAACAUAGCUACCAGCUGCCAUUGCUGAGGCCAUAAGAGGGAGAGGAAGGCUCAUUCUUGCACCUCUCUAAUGUGCCUGGAUAGAUACCGCUGCAGCUCAGAGCCACUGCUAUGUUUAUGGAGACAACUUGUCUUGUAUUUGUAUGAAUCUAAUUAUUUUUUUAUAUAAGCUGCCUUGUGGUGUGGAGGGUACUUUGCCCUGAAAGGUUGUUUGUAAGUACUAAGAAUGAAUGUGAUGGAUGAAAAAUCAAACACACCCACACCCAUAGGUUUGUUGCAUUCUGCUCUCUCAACCCAACUUUCAAUACGGGGAUAAAAGCAGCGGAUACCACUGCAGGGUUGUUGUAAGCUGUUCAGGGUCUGAUCUUGUAUUCAGAGCUGAGCUGUCGUAAGCCAGCACUUUCCAAAUCACAGUUGCUCGAAACCUUCAAUGUGGAGAACCCACUGCAUCUGCUUUGGAAUUUACAUUCAAAUGGAAUAUUUUAAAAAACGUUUCACACUAGAUAAGAAGUGAGAAAGUGCAUGGAUUCUCUUUGCUGCUAUUUGGGGUUGGGGUGCAGAUGUUAAACACACUGGUGCCCAAUUCUACCUACAUUGGAUUGCUUCAUGGAUUUUUUUCAGCUUCUGAGUGUGAUCCAGGAAGUGACUUAUCUGGGCAAUGAUACUGUUCUGUCUGUACCCUUUUAAUCUCUAUGUGUUUCUUCCUGCUUCCUUCUUUUCCACCUACUUCAUUCUAUGUGUUGUCAGCCCCCUCCUCAAAUCAACAUUCUGAAUCGUUAUGGGGCAAGUUUGCAGGGCUUCCCAACCUAGGCUUCGCCCAUAAUUACAUUGUAUUUCUGAAACCCUUGGGGUUCUCCCCAGUUUCCCCCCACUUCUCUCUUGCGUGUGGGUGCUGCCAUUGUAAUUGCAUAUAUGAAGGCACUCUCCUCUAGUCUGGGAAAAAUGGGUCCAAAAUUGAAUCACUAUUUUAUCACAGAAACCUUGCUUCCAAAUGUAAGAACCAUAUCCUCAUUUCAUCUAAGCGUGCCAGCUGGAUACUCUAGCUAUCUAUUUUCUGCUUUACAAUUUUCAAGAAUCGCUCCUGAAGCAGGUGAACUUUUCUAAAUGUCAGCUGAAGGUCCACUGAAUCCCCAGUUCACUUUCUUCAAAGCUAAUAUAUGUACAUGUUAUCUUGACCUGAUCUUCUAUCUAAAUGCAUCUUGCCAUUUCACAGCAAAGUCUCUUGUUCUCUAUAAUUCUCUGCAGCUCCGUUGUUUCUAGGUCAUCUUCUGUUGUCUGUUGAAAGCUGACCCUUGACUUAGCCAGAAGCCUAGCAGCAGUAUAAAAUAAGUAUUCCUAUAGACUGUGCUCUUUAAAAAGCCACAAACCAAGAUGUUCUCUGUGUUCACUGUCAGGUUCUAUAAUACAUAUUUGACAAGUACCCUAAUUAUGCAGCCUUCAGAACACUUGCAACCAUGUCGUUGCGUACUGCCCAAUAAAAUCCUGUUAAGAUUUUAUCACCUAAAACAGGGAAAGAGAGGGAAGGGGCAGGCAGACACUAAAAAAUAGAUAAAGGCAUCCCAGUAUUUAACUGAUUCAUCCACUUUUAGGUCAAGUUUAUUUCAAUGGGAGAAACUUAAGCAACAUACUGUUAUAAAUUGUGGGUGCUAGAUUUCCCUAAAUUCCUGGAGAGUUAAACUGGAAAUCAGACUCUUAAUAGUUGGUCUCAGCUUCCUGUGUUCAGGUGAUCGCCUGAGCCAUUAAAAGAGAACAAAGACAGGGGGAUGGGACAUAAGCAAAGACAGUGUGCCAGCUGGCAAAUGGUGGGAGCUGUACCCUGAGAUCUAAAUCAGCAAACACAGAGUAGAAUUUAGGAUUGCUGUUGGGGAUGAUAUAGGAUGGACAAAAAGUGGCAUUCAGUUAAAUGCCGCAAGCUACACAGAGUCGGAGCCAUGGCUGGGGUCUAUUUAGAUCCAAGGCUACAGCUAUGGAAGAAGGAAGAUUCUUUUGAAGUGUAAUGAUGGGAGGUCCUCCAUCACUGGCUCAGGUUGUAUAUAUGUGUAAAUAAACCAUGUAUCAUAAAGACACCACAGUCUCCACUGUGCCUUAUUUUCCAAAAGGAAACAUAGACCUUGGGUAAAGGUAAAGUAUCCCUGGACAGUUAUGUCCAGUCAAACUGGACUAUGGCGCUCAUCUAGCUUCAGGCCAAGGGAGCUGCCGUUUGUCCACAAACAACUUUCUUGGUCAUGUGGGCAGCAUGACUAAACCACUUCUGGCGCAAUGGGACACCGUGGCGAGUGCCAGAGCACAAGGGUGCUUGGAACCCCUGGAAUCUUGCACCGCUCAGAGACUGGGGUGGCAUGCAACAAUACUUAACUCUCCCACUAGAAGUGACGUUGUGAUGGGAAAAUGCUUAACUAUUUAUCCAUAGGCUUUCUUGGUGGCUUGAAGUAUAACGUGAGGCUCUUUUAUACCAAAAUGUCAGUGAAACACAGUGACAACAUUAAACCUAUCCUCCAAUUUCUCACAUGCUUUCUGCUUCAGAGUACUUCAGAAUUUUAGUGGAGCACAGGGCUCAGUUUACCUUACAAUUGUGAGGUAGCCAAGGAUGGAUAAGGGGGCUGAAUCUCUUCGGCUCCCCAUACCCUUUAAUUCAAGAAUUGGAUUUCAGACUACUAUCAGUUCAAUCCUAUACAGUACAUGUCUGUUCAAAAGUAAGCUGCUUUACUCCCAGGUGUAGGGUGUGUGUGUGUGUAGGAUUGCAGCCUGCAGGGUUUUUCGACAUGUACUAAAGCUACGGCGCUUACUGCUAUAUUGCUGUGUUCUCUGAGGACCCUCAUCAGCAUUUUAACCAGCUGAUAGAAAAGUUCUGCCAAAGAAACCUUUUGCAAUCAAUAUUUCAUAGGAAACUCUGAAUUCUCAUUGAGCUCAAAUUGCAUAUCUCAAACAGCCUGAGUUUCUGAGAGCACCAGCAAGGCAAUCUGUUCUUAUUGCUACACAGUGAAUAUGUCGUUUUAUGCACAGUAGUAAUUUUGUGCAGAAAGCUUACCUGAUGUCCCAGUUUGUCCCAAGUACUAAAAAAGAAGAAGAAGGUAUGGUCACAAUAUCUUUUUAUUCCAUCUAAACACCUGAGAAAUCUCACCAUCCUUUAAUAUGAAACGGAAAGGAUACCCAACUACUAGAAAGAAGAACUUUUAUAAAAGAAAGAAUGUGGAAUAGUACGAAAAGAAAGGCAUAUUCCUUGAGUUAAAAAUAAAUAAAUAUUUCUGCAAAAGCAUGCAAUCAUAUUUGGUCCCUAAAGCAGCUAUUUCUUAUAUGUUCUUUCUCUGUCACUCCUUUCUCUGUUUCAAGUAUUCUAGUGUGGUAAUUCUCAGUUGGGCUGUCAUAGAAUAGGAUAUAGCCCAGUACGAUGCUGAAGCAGCCUUUUUUUGAGGGGGGGAAUUUAAUAUAUUCAUAACAGGUUAGGCUUAGCAUACACACACACACACACACACACACACACACACAGACACAUCAUGAGUAUUAAUUACUCAUUAGUCACCUGGAAUCUCUUUAUUUGAAAUGUUAACCCGCCAUUUCCCCCAUUGUAAAGAGUGAAAUUACAGGGAACCAAGCAGAGGGCCUUCUUGGUAGUUGUGUCUGCCCUGUGGAACACUUCCCCGUCAGAUGUCAAGGAAACUACAGUGGACGCUCGGGUUGCGAAUGUGAUCCGUGUGGGAGGCACGUUCGCAACCCGCAGCGUUCGCAACCCGCAGUGCCACGUUUGCGCAUGCACAAGUUGCGAUUCAGUGGUUCUGCACACGUGUGAGUGCCGAAACCCAGAAGUAACCUGCUCUGGUACUUUCGGGUUCAGCGUGGUGUGCAACCCGAAGCAUCUGUAACCCGAGGUAUGACUGUAUCUGACUUCUAGAAGACGUCUGAAGGCAGCCCUGUAUAGGGAAGUUUUUAAUGUAUCUGAUGUUUUACUGUGGUUUUGUAAUUUGUUGAAAGCUUCCCAGAGUGGCUGGGGCAACCCAGUCUGCUGGGCGGCUGAUAAAUAAUAAAUCAUUAUUGUUAUUAUUAUAAGCAUCUGGCCAAAGAACGUCCCCCCCCCACAGACAGACACAGACUAGAAGCUGCUGUCCCUGCUCAGUUGCCUGUCAAUGCUGCCUACCUCCCACUCCUUGGCAACUUCUCCAAGCCUCUCCCGUUACAUUUCACUCCAAAACCCCAUCCUUUCCCAGAUCCUUUAAGCCCCCCAUAUUUCCACAGUUCAUUUGUGUCCCUCCAGCCCUGCUUUAUUCAACCCUCUGUUGUUUCGAACUGCCAUUUUAAAACCUGCCUUCUCUUUUGCUCCCCUCCCCAACUUCUUUCAAGUCCGGGACUGUGAUACAGCACCACAAACCCUCCAAUCGGAAC
rnacentral:lncRNA from 1 species